rnacentral:rRNA from 1 species
UACAGAGGUCUCAAGCGUUGUUCGGAUUCAUUGGGCGUAAAGGGUGUGUAGGUGGCGCCGUAAGUCGGGUGUGAAAUUUCGGAGCUUAACUCCGAAACUGCAUUCGAUACUGCGGUGCUUGAGGACUGGAGAGGAGACUGGAAUUCAUGGUGUAGCAGUGAAAUGCGUAGAGAUCAUGAGGAAGACCAGUGGCGAAGGCGGGUCUCUGGACAGUUCCUGACGCUGAGGCGCGAAAGCGUGGGGAGCAAACGGG